UACGUAGGGGGCGAGCGUUGUCCGGAUUUAUUGGGCGUAAAGAGCUCGUAGGCGGUUCGAUAAGUCGGAUGUGAAAUCUCCACGCUCAACGUGGAGAGGCCAUUCGAUACUGUCGUGACUCGAGUCCGGUAGGGGAGUGUGGAAUUCCCGGUGUAGCGGUGAAAUGCGCAGAGAUCGGGAGGAACACCGGUGGCGAAGGCGGCGUUCUGGACUGCAACUGACACUGAGAAACGAAAGCCAGGGGAGCAAACGGG
rnacentral:rRNA from 1 species